AUCGCUUCUCGGCCUUUUGGCUAAGAUCAAAGUUUAGUUUCUGUUCUUAUCGAAUUAACCUUCGAUAUAAAAUAACGAGAUAGGUGUGUAUCAUCGACCUGUUGUUCUUUUCGACUUUUUUAGAAACCAGCAGUAGCAAAAAUAGAUUGUGAACUGCUUUAGAACCAUGAAAAUUUGAUGUUUGUAGACAUU
rnacentral:snRNA from 1 species